CGUGGGAACCUGCCCCCCCGGUGGGGGAUAACGCGACGAAAGUUGCGCUAAUCCCGCAUACGUCCCCAGGGAGAAAGCGCCUCCGCGCGCCGGGGGAGGGGCCUGCGGCCCAUCAGGUCGUUGGUGGGGUAAUGGCCUACCAAGCCCAUGACGGGUAGCUGGUCUGGGAGGAUGACCAGCCAGACUGGGACUGAGACACGGCCCAGACUCCUACGGGAGGCAGCAGCAAGGAAUUUUCGGCAAUGGGCGCAAGCCUGACCGAGCAACGCCGCGUGCGGGAUGACGGCCUUCGGGUUGUAAACCGCUUUUCGGGGGGACGACCCUGACGGUACCCCCGGAACAAGCCCCGGCUAACUCUGUGCCAGCAGCCGCGGUAAGACAGAGGGGGCAAGCGUUGUCCGGAGUCACUGGGCGUAAAGCGCGCGCAGGCGGCUGCCUAAGUGUCGUGUGAAAGCCCCCGGCUCAACCGGGGGAGGCCAUGGCAAACUGGGUGGCUCGAGCGGCGGAGAGGUCCCUCGAAUUGCCGGUGUAGCGGUGAAAUGCGUAGAGAUCGGCAGGAAGACCAAGGGGGAAGCCAGGGGGCUGGCCGCCGGCUGACGCUGAGGCGCGACAGCGUGGGGAGCAAACCGGAUUAGAUACCCGGGUAGUCCACGCCGUAAACGAUGACCACUCGGCGUGUGGCGACUAUUAAUGUCGCGGCGCGCCCUAGCUCACGCGAUAAGUGGUCCGCCUGGGAACUACGAGCGCAAGCUUAAAACUCAAAGGAAUUGACGGGGGCCCGCACAAGCAGCGGAGCGUGUGGUUUAAUUCGACGCAACCCGCAGAACCUUACCCAGACUAGACAUGACGGUGCAGACGGCGGAAACGUCGUCGCCUGCGAGGGUCCGUCACAGGUGCUGCAUGGCUGUCGUCAGCUCGUGUCGUGAGGUGUUGGGUUAAGUCCCGCAACGAGCGCAACCCCUGCGGUUAGUUACCCGUGUCUAACCGGACUGCCCUUCGGGGAGGAAGGCGGGGAUGACGUCAAGUCCGCAUGGCCCUUACGUCUGGGGCGACACACACGCUACAAUGGCGCCGACAAUGCGUCGCUCCCGCGCAAGCGGAUGCUAAUCGCCAAACGGCGCCCCAGUGCAGAUCGGGGGGCUGCAACUCGCCCCCGUGAAGGCGGAGU
rnacentral:rRNA from 1 species